GCGAGAGUAGUACUAGGA
rnacentral:snRNA from 1 species